rnacentral:rRNA from 1 species
UACGGAGGAUCCAAGCGUUAUCCGGAUUUAUUGGGUUUAAAGGGUGCGUAGGCGGCUUAUUAAGUCAGGGGUGAAAGACGGUGGCUCAACCAUCGCAGUGCCCUUGAUACUGAUGAGCUUGAAUACACUUGAGGUAGGCGGAAUGUGACAAGUAGCGGUGAAAUGCAUAGAUAUGUCACAGAACACCAAUUGCGAAGGCAGCUUAGUAAGGUGCAAUUGACGCUGAGGCACGAAAGCGUGGGGAUCAAACAGG